UUUUCUUUGGUAGCAAUACCGAGGAAAAUUUAGUGGCGAACGGGUGCGUAACACGUGGGCAAUCUGCCGAGAAGUGGGGGAUAGCUCGCCGAAAGGCGAAUUAAUACCGCAUGUGGUCAGGGAGGACAUCCUUCCGAAUCCAAAGCCGGGGUAACCUGGCGCUUUUUGAGGAGCCCGCGGCCUAUCAGCUAGUUGGUGAGGUAACGGCUCACCAAGGCUUUGACGGGUAGCUGGUCUGAGAGGACGACCAGUCACACCGGAACUGAGACACGGUCCAGACACCUACGGGUGGCAGCAGUCGAGAAUUUUUCUCAAUGGGGGAAACCCUGAAGGAGCGACGCCGCGUGGAGGAUGAAGGCUUUCGGG
rnacentral:rRNA from 1 species